CGCGUAGAUGAUAUGCCUUUUAGUGGGGGACAACAGUUGGAAACGGCUGCUAAUACCGCAUAAGCUUAGUGACAUUGAAAAAGCUAAGGAAAGGGGGCUUCGGCUCUCGCUAGAAGAUUGGUCUGCGUGACAUUAGCUUGUUGGUGGGGUAAUGGCCUACCAAGGCGACGAUGUCUAGCUGGUCUGAGAGGAUGAUCAGUCACACUGGAACUGAGACACGGUCCAGACUCCUACGGGAGGCAGCAGUAGGGAAUAUUGCACAAUGGGGGAAACCCUGAUGCAGCAAUGCCACGUGAGUGA
rnacentral:rRNA from 1 species